GUAGGUGGCAAGCGUUGUCCGGAAUUAUUGGGCGUAAAGCGCGCGCAGGCGGUUCUUUAAGUCUGAUGUGAAAGCCCACGGCUCAACCGUGGAGGGUCAUUGGAAACUGGAGAACUUGAGUACAGAAGAGGAAAGCGGAAUUCCACGUGUAGCGGUGAAAUGCGUAGAGAUGUGGAGGAACACCAGUGGCGAAGGCGGCUUUCUGGUCUGUAACUGACGCUGAGGCGCGAAAGCGUGGGGGAGCAAACAGGAUUAGAUACCCUGGUAGUCCACGCCGUAAACGAUGAGUGCUAAGUGUUAGGGGGUUUCCGCCCCUUAGUGCUGCAGCUAACGCAUUAAGCACUCCGCCUGGGAGUACGGCCGUAAGGCUG
rnacentral:rRNA from 1 species